rnacentral:rRNA from 1 species
AUACGUAGGUGGCAAGCGUUGUCCGGAUUUACUGGGCGUAAAGGGAGCGUAGGUGGAUAUUUAAGUGGGAUGUGAAAUACCCGGGCUUAACCUGGGUGCUGCAUUCCAAACUGGAUAUCUAGAGUGCAGGAGAGGAAAGGAGAAUUCCUAGUGUAGCGGUGAAAUGCGUAGAGAUUAGGAAGAAUACCAGUGGCGAAGGCGCCUUUCUGGACUGUAACUGACGCUGAGGCUCGAAAGUAUGGGUAGC